UGGCAUCUGAUUGACCAUCAAAUAAGUCUGAAAAUGUUCCAGAUAAAUAUCUAUUUAAAUAUAAAUUUAAAAAAGACCAUUAUUUAAUAGAUCAUGUCCCAUUCAAAUAAAGUUUGAAUGGGAGAAAAAAUCAUUAACGUGAGGAGUCAUGUGACUCAUCCUCGCACGCGCGCUACAUAACCAGAUUUCUUUCCAACUUUUCUCUAUGCAUAAAAUCCAAAAAAAUUACAACUCAUAUUUUAAGAUGUGUACCAGAAGAUGGAGGGUGAUGUGGGCUGACACACAUGUUUGAAUCCCAAGCCAAAAGGACUCCAUCAUUCUGCUCAAGCGAAUACACG
rnacentral:lncRNA from 1 species